UGAGUAAUGUCUGGGAAACUGCCUGAUGGAGGGGGAUAACUACUGGAAACGGUAGCUAAUACCGCAUAACGUCGCAAGACCAAAGAGGGGGACCUUCGGGCCUCUUGCCAUCGGAUGUGCCCAGAUGGGAUUAGCUUGUUGGUGGGGUAACGGCUCACCAAGGCGACGAUCCCUAGCUGGUCUGAGAGGAUGACCAGCCACACUGGAACUGAGACACGGUCCAGACUCCUACGGGAGGCAGCAGUGGGGAAUAUUGCACAAUGGGCGCAAGCCUGAUGCAGCCAUGCCGCGUGUAUGAAGAAGGCCUUCGGGUUGUAAAGUACUUUCAGCGGGGAGGAAGGGAGUAAAGUUAAUACCUUUGCUCAUUGACGUUACCCGCAGAAGAAGCACCGGCUAACUCCGUGCCAGCAGCCGCGGUAAUACGGAGGGUGCAAGCGUUAAUCGGAAUUACUGGGCGUAAAGCGCACGCAGGCGGUUUGUUAAGUCAGAUGUGAAAUCCCCGGGCUCAACCUGGGAACUGCAUCUGAUACUGGCAAGCUUGAGUCUCGUAGAGGGGGGUAGAAUUCCAGGUGUAGCGGUGAAAUGCGUAGAGAUCUGGAGGAAUACCGGUGGCGAAGGCGGCCCCCUGGACGAAGACUGACGCUCAGGUGCGAAAGCGUGGGGAGCAAACAGGAUUAGAUACCCUGGUAGUCCACGCCGUAAACGAUGUCGACUUGGAGGUUGUGCCCUUGAGGCGUGGCUUCCGGAGCUAACGCGUUAAGUCGACCGCCUGGGGAGUACGGCCGCAAGGUUAAAACUCAAAUGAAUUGACGGGGGCCCGCACAAGCGGUGGAGCAUGUGGUUUAAUUCGAUGCAACGCGAAGAACCUUACCUGGUCUUGACAUCCACGGAAGUUUUCAGAGAUGAAAAGGUGCCUUCGGGAACUGUGAGACAGGUGCUGCAUGGCUGUCGUCAGCUCGUGUUGUGAAAUGUUGGGUUAAGUCCCGCAACGAGCGCAACCCUUAUCCUUUGUUGCCAGCGGUCCGGCCGGGAACUCAAAGGAGACUGCCAGUGAUAAACUGGAGGAAGGUGGGGA
rnacentral:rRNA from 1 species